rnacentral:rRNA from 1 species
CCUACGGGAGGCAGCAGUGAGGAAUAUUGGUCAAUGGACGAGAGUCUGAACCAGCCACGUCGCGUGAAGGAUGACUGCCCUAUGGGUUGUAAACUUCUUUUAUAUGGGAGUAAAAUGUUCCACGUGUGGGAUUUUGUAUGUACCAUUUGAUUAAGGAUCGGCUAACUCCGUGCCGGCAGCCGCGGUAAUCCGGAAGGGCCGGGCGUUAUGCGGAUUUAUUGGGUUUAAAGGGAGCGUAGUCCGGCUUGUAAGUCAGCUGUGAAAGUCCGCGGCUUAACCGUGGAAUUGCAGUUGAAACUGGGGGCCUGGAGUGCACACAGGGAUGCCGGAAUUCAUGGUGUAGCGGUGAAAUGCGUAGAUAUCAUGAAGAACUCCGGUCGCGAAGGCAAGUGUCCGGGGUGCAACUGACGCUGAGGCUCGAAAGUGCGGGUAUCAAACAGGAUUAGAUACCCUUGUAGUC